ACCCGGCUGAUGACUCUCAAAUGGGACGAAACACGCGUCCUGGAU
rnacentral:hammerhead_ribozyme from 1 species